UUGGAUCUGUCGUUGCUGGGAACACCGAUCCUGCGAAGUGGCACUGGUUGCCUACCAGCUAGCCUCUGUCCGAGCAGGCCACUCAGAGAUGGUCACUUCUGGGCACACCAUCCUUCCUGGCCAAGUCGUAUGGAAAGGCAUCCAAGACACCCUUGGCCUUGGAUCACUUUCUGGAAGAAGAUCCAGGAGGGGGCAUCUCUUUUGCAUGGUUUCUCGUGAUACUGAGGGUAUACUGUGGAUCAGCCCUGCAGGGGCAGCAAGCUGAAGAACAAAGCCAGAACCUAUGAAGAAGUUCUGGAGAUUGUGU